GCUGAGCACAAUGUAGGCGCUCUAAGACUAAUGAAAGAAUCAAAUCAGGUGUGUGAGUGAUUCAGCAAGAAGUUGAAUUAGAGCCAGCUGCUUCGUCUGAGUUGGGUUAAGUCAGAGGGGGAGGGUUGAUAUUGGGUAAUCAGAACAAAACGAGCUGGAGGGCCAGCCACCUGCUUAGUCGGAGUAAGAAUGCCUGCAGAGACCUGGACCAGAGUGGGCAGAAUGGAGUCACCAUGAAUAUAUGCACCAAGGGAAUGAACACACAAAUUAAAAGGCUGGAGUAUAGUGGUGCGAUCAUAGCUAGCUGCAGCCUUGAACUCCUCCUCAAGCAAUCCUUCCUCCUUGGCCUCGCAAAGUCCUGGGAUUACAGGCGUGAGCUACUGGGCCUGACCUACAAAAUGUUUUAUGCUUUCGCCUAUUAUAGGAGACAUAUUGCUCACCCUUCACGAGAGGUCAAACACCUGAGUUAAAUUUUGGAAAGCUUCUAUAUACCUAUCAGGAUCUUCAGAAAAUCAGACUAAGCCUCCUUUUAUUUGCCUAAGGACCUGCAAUGAGAAGGGAACUUGAACCCUAGUGGCAUCACCUCCAUUGGGAAUUUCCUAUAGGGGGCCUAAAUAGUGUUCCUUGGAGAGAAAAUUACCCUGGGAAUGAAUAAACAAGAGCAAUGCAAAUGUUUCUUUUACAUUAGAUUCUUGCAGCCCUGGAAAUCCUAAAUAAUAAUCAUGGCAAUACUACAUUUAUAAGACUAAAAGAUAGGAACUCAAGAAAAAUUUGGUCAUAGCAGUUGGUGAAAAAGUGAAUUUAAGAGAAGUGACAAAAAGAACUACUUGGGAUAUCCACGACUGUUACAGAUGCUUCGUGGAGGUUCAAAAAGACUACAGAUCAAGGCCAGUGACCUUCUACACAUGGUGGACACUCCAGCCUCUGCUCAAUCUCCAUCCACACUUAAAGGAAAUAGCCAACUCUUGGCCAACCUUCAGGCCUGGGAAGAGGCUCAAGCAGACACUGAAGACGGACUUAAGGCUAUACGAUGUCCGGAAGUGGUGGGUUCUUGGUCUCACUGACUUCAAAAAUGAAGACGAAGACGUGGACUCUGGCGGUGAGUGUUACAGUUCUUAAAGGCGGUGUGUCCGGAGUUCAUUCCUUAUAAUGUUGGGAGUUUCUUCCUUAUGGUGGGUUUGUGGUCUCGCUGGCUCCGGAGUGAAGCUGCAGACCUUCGCGGUGAGUGUUACAGCUCUUAAGGCGGCACGUCUGGAGUUGCUGGAUCCUCCCGGUGCGUUUGUGGUCUCGCUGACUUCAGGACUGAAGCUGCAAACCUUUGCCGUGAGUGUUACAGCUUAUAAAAGCAAUGUGGACCCACAGAGAGAACAGCAGCAAGAUUUAUUGGAAAGAGAUAAAGAAUAAGGCUUCCACACUGUGGGAGGGGACCGGAGGGGGUUGCCACUGCUGGCUCCGGCAGCCUGCUUUUAUUCUCUUAUCUGGCCCCACCCACAUCCUGCUGAUUGGUAGAGCCCAGUGGUCUGUUUUGACAGGGUGCUGAUUGGUGCAUUUACAAUCCCUGAGCUAGACACAAAGGUUCUCCAAGUCCCCACCAGAUUAGCUAGAUACAGAGUGUCCAUUGGUGCAUUCACAAACCCUGACCUAGACACAGGGUGCUGAAUGGUGUGUUUACAAACCUUAAGCUAGAUACAGAGUGCCGAUUGGUGUUUUUACAAUCCCUUAGCUAGACAUAAAGGUUCUCCACGUCCCCACCAGACUCAGGAGCCCAGCUGGCUUCACCCAGUGGAUCCCGCCCAGGGGCUGCAGGUGGAGCUGCCUGCCAGUCCCGCGCCGUGUGCCUGCACUCCUUAGCCCUUGGGUGGUGGAUGGGACUGGGCGCCGUGGAGCAAGAGGCGGCGCUCAUCCCGGAGGCUCCGGCGGCACAGGAGCCCACGGAGAGGAGGAGGCUCAGGCAUGGCGGGCUGCAGGUCCCAAGCCCUGCCCCGCGGGAAGGCAGCUAAGGGCUGGCGAGAAAUUGAGCACAGCAGCUGCUGGCCCAGGUGCUAAGCCCCUCAGUGCCUGGGGCCGGUGGGGCCGGCUGGCCGCUCAGAGUGCGGGGUCCGCCCAGCCCACGCCCACCUGGAACUUGCGCUGGCCCGCAAGCACCGCGUGCAGACCCAGUUCCCUCCCGCGCCUCUCCCUCCACACCUCCCAGCAAGCUGAGGGAGCCGGCUCCGGCCUUGGCCAGC
rnacentral:lncRNA from 1 species